rnacentral:rRNA from 1 species
AGAGUUUGAUCCUGGCUCAGAAUCAACGCUGGCGGCGUGCCUAACACAUGCAAGUCGAACGAGAAAGGGUAGCAAUACCUGAGUACAGUGGCGCACGGGUGAGUAACACGUGACUAACCUACCCUGGAGUGGGGAAUAACUGAGGGAAACCUUAGCUAAUACCGCAUAAUACCUACGGGUCAAAGGAGCAAUUCGCUUCAGGAGGGGGUCGCGGCCGAUUAGUUAGUUGGCGGGGUAAUGGCCCACCAAGACAGUGAUCGGUAUCCGGCCUGAGAGGGCGCACGGACACACUGGAACUGAAACACGGUCCAGACUCCUACGGGAGGCAGCAGUGGGGAAUCUUGCGCAAUGGGGGAAACCCUGACGCAGCAACGCCGCGUGGAGGAUGACAUCCCUUGGGAUGUAAACUCCUUUCGAUCGGGACGAUUAUGACG